rnacentral:rRNA from 1 species
GAAAAGAAAUCAACCGAGAUUCCCCCAGUAGCGGCGAGCGAACGGGGAGCAGCCCAGAGUCAACAUCAAUAUUUACCGCAGGAGAAGGGUCUGGAAAGGCCGGCAAUAAAGGGUGAUAGCCCCGUAUCUGAAACGGUAAGUGUUGUGAACUCGAAGAGUAGGGCGGGACACGUGUUAUCCUGUCUGAAUAUGGGGGGACCAUCCUCCAAGGCUAAAUACUCCUGACUGACCGAUAGUGAACCAGUACCGUGAGGGAAAGGCGAAAAGAACCCCGGCGAGGGGAGUGAAAUAGAACCUAAAACCGUGUACGUACAAGCAGUGGGAGCACCCAAAAGGGUGUGACUGCGUACCUUUUGUAUAAUGGGUCAGCGACUUAUAUUCUGUAGCAAGGUUAACCGGAUAGGGGAGCCGUAGGGAAACCGAGUCUUAACUGGGCGUUAAGUUGCAGGGUAU